rnacentral:tRNA from 1 species
GCCCUUUUAGCUCAGUUGGCAGAGCACCUGUCUUGUAAACAGGGUGUCGCUGGUUCGAUCCCAGUAAAGGGCU